ensembl:snRNA U6 U6 spliceosomal RNA
GUGCUAGCUUCAGGAAUACUAAAUUGGAACGACACAGAGAAGACCAGCAUGGCCCCUGCGCAAGCAUGACAUGCAAAUUCGUGUAGCAAUCCAUAUUCUU